GGGAGUGGCUCAAUGGUAGAGUAGCGGUCUCCAAAACCGUAGGUUGGGGGUUCGAGUCCUCUCUCC
rnacentral:tRNA from 1 species